GCUGGGCGAGCGUGGACGUGGGAGGUGGUAUAUCGUUGUUAGAGCCGGAUAAGCUCGCUGUGGUGCUGUCUCUACGUCCCAGGAGCACCGUCCAGGAAGGCCCGUAAGUCUGCAUCUCGAAAACGAUGAUAGCGAGCACGUCGGCGCAAGACACGACUCCGGGGCAGGCGCUUUCCACCGCGGCUUUCACGUCGUCCACAACCUCAAAGCCUCUGGCGGAGUUUCUGUUCGGAUUGGACGUCUUCUCGCCGGUGAAGCCCGGCUGGUCGUCGAGAAGAACAGAUCCAUCGCACCCCUGACAACAACAUCAACAACAAAAAUUAGAAACGUUUCCGCGCAGUGCCAACUUCUUCUCUUAAAGAGGCGGAGGAGCGAGGCCGCCAUCCUUGGCUCUCGCUCCACAGCUCUAGAGAGAACGCCUCUCACGAUGGACAAGAGAUUCGGGCACGAGUAAGCGUAGAAAGUGGGGCUCAGCGGGAAAGAAGAAGAAGGCGGAUGGGCAGACACACAGGAAGAAAAUAGCGACAGAUGCAAGGCCACCAAAGUCAGCAACAGCGCACUCUCCUUGUUCGUCGACGCCGCCAUUCUUCUCAUACAACUCGACGAGACGUGAAAAGAAGAACGAAAGAGAACGAAACGAGAUGGGUCCUUUCGAGAGUUUCAAAAGCGAGCAACUUUAUAGCGGACGAGACCACGAACUUAACGGACGGGUAAAUUCCAAGAUGGAUUGACACGGUCUCGAUUAUACGUCAGAGCUUUUAAAGUUUCAACACCAACCAGCACUAUGGAACAUGAUUAUACCGCGGCAGCUUCGCAGGAUUCUAGAAACGAAGUCCUGUUGGCAUUACUCGACGCAUCAAUCUCUCUCUGGAACUUUGACGCGGCUAAGGUAAGCAGUCUUUCCCUUCUCUUUUUCUUCUCACUGUGGAUUCUUUUGUUUCUUCUUGAUAGAUUCUUCCGAAAUUUUCAAACUUAACUGAUGCGUGUGACUGCCACCCCUUGACGUUGAGCGUCAGAUCCGCAAAGAAAAAUAAUAUCGCGGUCAAUAAGACGAUAAUGGUUGUUCCGUUAUCACCGGGAACCAGCUCUCUAUCAACCGAACAAAAAGUGUUUAUCAGCAAACACAGGCAACUGCUGUCACUCGCUACUCUUCGACUUUCUUGUGCUCGUUCUUGAGGAAGAACACUCGGCCGGCCAGCUUCAAGGCCUCAUCCAGAGGAAUCACCGGGAACGAGAACGCGAUC